rnacentral:tRNA from 1 species
GGAUUGUAGCUCAGUGGUGGAGCGCUUGCCUCGUAAGCAUUGGGCACUGGGUUCAAUCCUCAGCACCA